rnacentral:rRNA from 1 species
GACCUCGGAUCAGGUAGA